ACAGAACUCUAUGUUUGAAAGACAGCGACGGGGAUGGAUUGUCAAACGGACAGGAGCUCGGAGACCCAGACUGUGUUUGGGAGGUCGGCAAGGAACCAGCCCAGAACACUGAACUCUCUCACCCAGGUGUAUGUGACCCCUGGAACAGCCCUGAAUGCCAGGACAAGACAACAUUUGUCAAGUGCGGCUCAAAUAAGUUGAAUUGUCCGGCUAUACAUGAAGAAGGUAAGCAAUUACCUAUCACAUAUACAACCAAAGACUCAAGUGCAGACCAAGGACGACCAAUGUAACAUUCCGACUUCCGGCGGAUACACCAGUUGAUUCUCGGGAAACUAUAUACAAGUGUAUGGUAUUUGAUUAUCCUCAAGAUGGCGACUAUCACCUGGUGGCCAAUGAGCCCGUGCUUGACAAU